GAUUCAUCACUUUCAUUCCCAGAAUCCUCCUCAUCCCUGAAGAUGUCAUCAUAGGCAGGAAUUUCAAGAUAUUGAUGAUAUAGCUAAUUUUGGAAGUGGGGAUGAGAUGAGGAUUACAGAAGUAUAUCACACUUGUACAUUUUGCAAACAGGUUGCAAAGAAAACCAUCUAAGAAAGGAAGCCACCUUCCAAGGGCAUACUGCAUCGUCUCCAAAUCACAGUUGCCAAGGAGGAAGCUGCAGUUCCCGCUGAGCUAAAUUAGUUCCUUCCUCAUCCAAUUCCCACUGAGCUAAAUUAGUUCCUUUCUCUAUGUUCAAUCAUGUCAAACAGGAUAACGACUCAUUUGGUUGUGCUCUGCUGAGACCUGAAAUUUAUCAGGGCAAAGGCAAGAAAAAUUAGUUACAAGGAUGCAACCAGCCUAGCAAAGGGACUAUGAAAAAAGACCUCAUGGUAUAGUCUAUACUUUAUCAGCACAGGGCUUAGAUAGAAACACACCAAGAAGUUGCUAUAGCAAGUGGUUGUGUCUAGUCUUAUUAUUAUUAAAUCAGGUCUUAUUAUAACCUUAAUAAAUAUUUUGAUUUACUAUAAUUAGUCUUAAAGUGUUACUAGUUAAGGACUGAGGAAUUGGAUUGGACUGGAUUGCACUGUGAAGGUGGCAUUCAUUUCAUGUUCUUCUGGUAAACUCUAAAGGGCUGCGGUGCAAUU